rnacentral:lncRNA from 1 species
UGAUGUCAGAAAACAUGCAGGGCAAAGGAAUAUGAAGAAAGAGGUCAACAAGAUGACUACUGAGCAGAUUAAAGUCCUGGCUGAUAAGUUGAGGAUGAUCCCUGGCUUCACAAGGGGACAUUGUCCUUAAUUUCACUUCAGCCCUAUAGUGUGCUCAUUUGCUUAGACUCAGCACUUCUUUGGUAACAGAAAAUGAGAUGUUAUUUUUAUAAACAACACAUGUCUGUGGAAAUGACUCCUGCACUGUUAAGCUGGGAGUUCAAAUGAGUGCUCGACAUUUUCAGAGAAGAAUCUAUGAUCUGCUCUGGGCUCAUAAGCAGGCAGUAAGGAGUACAGGGCUGGCAUAAAACUCAGAUCAAAGCUUGUUUCCUCAGAGGCUGCAAUCAAUGAAGACGACAGACAACCAAGGAGAAGUCAGUAAGGCACAGAGUACUUGAGACGGCUAAGAGUGAUUUGGAGAAAAACAACCUAGAAGUCAGAGGGAUGCUUUUGGUUUUCAAUGUGUUUGUCAGAGAAGGCUGUACCUUUGAACAUUUCCAUAAAGGAGAUGAGUUGGGGGCAAGCAAAUGAUACAUUUCUGCUGACAGCUUUCAGUAACCCAACAACAGUGGAACAAGAGACAGCGUUAUGGUAGACGAAACUGGCAAAGGGAGGAAGCAGACGCUGAGGACUGUUGAGGCGUUUUGGACUAUCACAGGAGAGAAGCCAAGUUUCAAGUGGUGGAGUGGUGUGUUCCAAGUUCCUUUCUGAAGGAUCACUAUAGUGGUUUGCAAAGAGGAAGGACGGCUUUGGGUAUCAAACGGGAUGUAGAGAGAAGCCUCCAGUAAUUCAGGCAAACAAGAACUUACGGGCUAGGUCCCUUUCAGUAGACCUGGAAUCCGCCUGCAUCCCUCGCUCUACUCGAACAGCACAUGCUCAGACAGGGAACCGACCCCAAGAUAAGGCUUGAGAUAUACUGGGUACCAUCAGAUGACCAUGCUUCCACAGAACCACCAAGCCAGGGCAAAUUUCAGGAAUAACUUCAGGAGUUGCAGAGUAAAGCUGAUGGAAAAGGGCCUCUUCAUGGACUAUUCUAGAACAAACCAGGAAAAGGGAACACAGGAAAGAAUGAACGACAAAAAGUUGUCAAACAGUGAAUAUCUGGGCAACAUGAAGAGAAGAGGACCAAGUCUAGUUCCCAGAACAAAUGCCUUCUCUUUGGGCUGAAACAUGAGUUGUGAAUUAAAGGAGAUAAGGUCCUGUGAAUGUAUCUGUAGAAGAAAGAGUUUCUCAUACAACAUGAAAUAAGAAUCAGAAAGAGUUGGGGUUUCCUCACUGAAGUCAGCUGCCUGCAUGCUGUGUCCAUGAGGACUCCAUUCACUCAAGUGGAGAAGGCCAAGACACUCACAAAUACAGUUGUGCUAAAGAUCAAAGAGACAUGGAGGAUCUACCAGACUCUGCUCUCUUGUGCUUUCAUUUCCUGUAGGCUGUGAGCUUCUGAUUGUAGCAAUUGCCAGAGUCUUUGAUUGGAGAUGAUUUGUUUCCUUCCUGUCACUGAAAAUGCUGAAAGCCAGCCACCUUUCUGCCACCGGUACUUUAUAGCUUAUUUGUAGCUAAUCUACUUAGUGUUGGCAGAAGGAAUGCUUUGUUUUGCAGAUUCUAUUUUUAAGUUUCUUACUGGAGUUUCAUUUUAAACACCUUGCUAAGUUUGCCUUAUAUAAGGAAGCAAAUUGAUUGGAUCACUGUAAUUAGAAUCAACUUUUAACUAGCUACAGUUGUCAAUU